AUACUCCCCUCGGAGGAAAGAUUUAUCGCCGAUGGAUCGGCCCGCGUCGGAUUAGCUAGUUGGUGAGGUAAUGGCUCACCAAGGCGACGAUCGGUAGCUGGUCUGAGAGGAUGAUCAGCCACACUGGGACUGAGACACGGCCCAGACUCCUACGGGAGGCAGCAGUGGGGAAUAUUGGACAAUGGGCGCAAGCCUGAUCCAGCCAUGCCGCGUGAGUGAUGAAGGCCUUAGGGUUGUAAAGCUCUUUCACACGGGACGAUAAUGACGGUACCGGGAGAAGAAGCCCCGGCUAACUUCGUGCCAGCAGCCGCGGUAAUACGAAGGGGACUAGCGUUGCUCGGAAUCACUGGGGCGUAAAGGGCACGUAGGCGGAUCUUUUAAGUCAGGGGUGAAAGCCCAGGGGCUCAACCCUGGAAUUGCCCUUGAUACUGGGGAAUCUCGAGACCGUGAAGAGGUGAGUGGAAACUGCCGAGU
rnacentral:rRNA from 1 species